rnacentral:rRNA from 1 species
UACAGAGGGGGCAAGCGUUGUUCGGAAUUACUGGGCGUAAAGGGCGCGUAGGCGGCCGAUUAAGUCAGACGUGAAAUCCCCGGGCUCAACCCGGGAACUGCGUCUGAGACUGGACGGCUCGAAUCCGGGAGAGGGAUGUGGAAUUCCAGGUGUAGCGGUGAAAUGCGUAGAUAUCUGGAGGAACACCGGUGGCGAAGGCGGCAUCCUGGACCGGCAUUGACGCUGAGGCGCGAAAGCCAGGGGAGCAAACGGG